UCAAAUAAACGACGAUGGAAAUAAUUGAUUGGAAAUGUAUCGGAUAUAAUAAUACAUUAAUGUAUCGUACGUACACGAUUUGUAUUUACUUUUCGACGUGAUCGUAAAUUCGUGACGAUAUUGUUUCACGCGGAAUCGUCCCACCCGCUCGCCGCCGAGGGGAUGUUUUCAAUACCUAUACGCGUUUUAGGAGCAUAAAACCUAAUUGGUUUUCGCGUUCAGACGGAUUAUUCUCGAAAAACCGAUCGCCGAUGGUAUGUAAAUAAAAGAGCAACGGAUUAAUUUUUUAUUAUAAUUAUUUAUCAAUUAAUCAAAAUGUAUAUUUUCCGCGGCCCGUCCGCCAGCGCACUCGAAUAAAACUUUGCGUCGGGGAACGUCUUUAAAGUUUCGCCCGGUCGUUUUUUUUCGUAUAAUAGUUUUAAGACCCGAGAAGACGAUAU